rnacentral:rRNA from 1 species
UACGUAGGGCGCAAGCGUUGUCCGGAAUUAUUGGGCGUAAAGAGCUCGUAGGUGGUUUGUCGCGUCUGCCGUGAAAGCCCGGGGCUUAACUCCGGGUCUGCGGUGGAUACGGGCAGACUAGAGGCAGGUAGGGGAGAACGGAAUUCCCGGUGUAGAGGUGAAAUUCGUAGAUAUCGGGAGGAACACCGGUGGCGAAGGCGGCGAUCUGGGUAGAUACUGACGCUGAGGUGCGAAAGCGUGGGGAGCGAACAGG